rnacentral:rRNA from 1 species
GAUGGACGCUGGCGGCGUGCCUAAUACAUGCAAGUCGAGCGAACAGACGAGGAGCUUGCUCCUCUGACGUUAGCGGCGGACGGGUGAGUAACACGUGGAUAACCUACCUAUAAGACUGGGAUAACUUCGGGAAACCGGAGCUAAUACCGGAUAACAUGUUGAACCGCAUGGUUUAACAGUGAAAGACGGUCUUGCUGUCACUUAUAGAUGGAUCCGCGCCGCAUUAGCUAGUUGGUAAGGUAACGGCUUACCAAGGCAACGAUGCGUAGCCGACCUGAGAGGGUGAUCGGCCACACUGGAACUGAGACACGGUCCAGACUCCUACGGGAGGCAGCAGUAGGGAAUCUUCCGCAAAGGGCGAAAGCCUGACGGAGCAACGCCGCGUGAGUGAAGAAGGUCUUCGGAUCGUAAAACUCUGUUAUUAGGGAAGAACAAAUGUGUAAGUAACUAUGCACGUCUUGACGGUACCUAAUCAGAAAGCCACGGCUAACUACGUG